AUUGAACGCUGGCGGCAUGCCUUACACAUGCAAGUCGAACGGUAACAGGUCUUCGGAUGCUGACGAGUGGCGAACGGGUGAGUAAUACAUCGGAACGUGCCUAGUAGUGGGGGAUAACCACUCGAAAGAGUGGCUAAUACCGCAUGAGAUCUACGGAUGAAAGCAGGGGAUCGCAAGACCUUGUGCUACUAGAGCGGCCGGUGGCAGCUUAGGUAGUUGGUGGGAUAAAAGCUUACCAAGCCGACGAGCUGUAGCUGGUCUGAGAGGACGAUCAGCCACACUGGAACUGAGACACGGCCCAGACUCCUACGGGAGGCAGCAGUGGGGAAUUUUGGACAAUGGGCGAAAGCCUGAUCCAGCAAUGCCGCGUGCAGGAUGAAGGCCUUCGGGUUGUAAACUGCUUUUGUACGGAACGAAAAGCCCCGGGUUAAUACCCUGGGGUCAUGACGGUACCGUAAGAAUAAGCACCGGCUAACUACGUGCCAGCCGCCGCCGUAA
rnacentral:rRNA from 1 species